GUUCUGUACAGCUACUAUUUACGUCCUAAGGAGUCGUGCAGUGUUUGCUUCCUCCAUACUAUUGUGAUCACAGUCUUAGUGUAAUUGUCACUGACACCAGCAUUCAGGUAUAGCUCUUUAUAACUCUGUAGACAUGUUAAACAUGUUUAAUACCCAGGACUUUCUUUUGAAAGUUGCAUUCCUUAGAAGAGUAGGAACAGGACAUCUCUCUAACCCAACUCUAUUAUGUUUCCUCAGCUCAUCCCACCACAGAAACACCAGACUAGAAAGGCAGUCCUGUAUUUACAAAGUGAGAUUGUCGUUUCAUUCCAUAACUUGUAAUAAUACUUGAGUUUUAUACAUUUACAUAUUUUAAAUGCUCAGUUGUAGAAAACAGUUCAUUCCAUUUACUGAAUGGUUGCUGCUCUGGCUUUUUAGAACUUGGAAUUAUCUUUUAAGAGGCUAAAAUGCUGCUAUUAUUGCUGUGAAUUUGUAUAAAGAAUAGGAUCCAUGCCAGUCAUUUUUUUAAUUUAAAAAAGUCAUGUGAUUGCUUUUUAAGGAUUUAUAUUUAGAAAAAGUUUUAAAGACAAAUUUAUAUAUGAAAAUACUCUAUAUAAGAUUUUCUUUUGUUCCCAAGAAUUGAUCAGAGGAAUGCAACAAAGACCAGAGUAGAAAUCUUAAAACACCAAUUUAUGGAAAAGUCUGGAAGUUUAGGCCUCAGUGUUAAAAGUGCAGACUAAACUGAUGAGGUCAAAACUUGAGGAACCCAAUAGGUUACUUCAUCCAGCACACACACACACACACACACACACACACACACACACACUCACACACACACUGGGGGUGCUACGUAUAGAAAUUGAGCUCUAGUGAAUAUGCAGCACUACUUUUUAAAAAAAAAAAAAAAAAAACCUUAAUCAUCUUUUUAUCAAGUAGGCAACCCAUUGCCCCUUGGGGACCAUACCAGCCCUGAAAUUGUUACCAGCAGCAGAGGUUAGGAAGAGGGGCUGGCAUGACAUGGCUUCAGUAACUGAGGACCCAGAACAAAGCAACAAAAGAAGUCCAGGCCAGUUUUAAUAUUGGUGGAUUUGGUGUCACACAUUGUUUACUCCUGGAACUAAGUCUGUUUUAUAAAUGCUAAAGUUGAUUCCUCAGAACAAUUUCUUUAUUAAUGUCCUAUGGGCUUGGAAAUAGGUAAAUAUUUUGAGUAUAGAAUGAUGAUUCAAAUUACUGGUGUAAGUGUGAAACAGUAGACUUUAGAUAAAGUCUAGAGUUAACAUAUGUAGCAACAGCCUUAACUUUGGAUUCAGCUAUUUAAAAGACUUUGUCCCCAUCUUUCCCUUUCUAAUACUGUGGGGGUAGAAAUUGGAUGCUAGAUCACUGUGAGCCAGGUUACCUCAGCAUUGGCCACCCUGUGUGUGGCUUCACAAAUGCAGAAUUGAAUGUUGUUACUUUCAGAUGUUGACAUGGAGCAUCGUGAUCAAGGAAAUGGAGCUGCCUUACGCAUUAACCCAUAAUUCAAUUCUAUUGAUACUUUCACAGCCUUGUCUCCAGGUUUCAUCUUUUUGGCAAAAUUCUGAUUCCACAGUUUGGUUUGAUGGAAAUAAAUAUUUCCUGGAUUUCUAGCUAAGAACUUUGCUAAAAGCCCCAGGGGUACCAUUAUCUUAUUAAUAAAUUUAUUCUGAGCCUUAUUUCUUAGUGUAUUCGAUUUCCUUUUAAAUAUCCAUUCACAUGUUUUAAAUGCUUAGUUUGAAGAAGUCCCUGGGAUGGUCCCAAGGGUAGGGCCCACACAUUUCUUACAAUGGCAAAGCAUUUUUUAAAAUUUAAGGUCAGGUUGAAAAAUUCUAGGACUAAUUCUGUAAAGAGGAGGGACUGUGAAUGUGAGUGGGGGUAGAAGAGUGGGUUGUCAUAUUUGAAUUAGUAAUGUAUAUGACAUAAAUUUAAGAUUUGCUCCUUUAGUUCAAGAAGGAGCAUGUAAAGUCCAUUUCUCUGUUCCAGUCCUAUUGAUCACCCACUCAGAAUGUUGACAGAGUAUCGCCUGAGCAGAGGGUGCAAGGGAAUAAUGAAAGCUAAGUAUGUCAGGAAGUUACUUUCAAAUGGUUAGAGGCAUGUGAUUGUCAGUAUUGUGUGUUACAGAAAUGUUGGGAAUGAUACAUUUUAAUGUGUGCAAGAUGAUAUGUUGGUGUGCACAGAGGGUCUUUUUUUCCUUAUCUGAUUAGUACUGUUAAUGUCCAAGAAUAAAAAUGGUUGUUUUACAGUUUAGAUUCUGAGAUAGCAAAACCUGAUUUUUCAACCAUGACCUGCAUGAGAGAAGCAUCCUAGAAAGUCCUAGAUCAUACUUCUGAGUUCUUUAAUUUAUAUAGUGUUUUUUAAUGUUUUAAUAUUUUUGUGAACUUGUGUAAAUUGUUAAUGCAUAUAAGCUUGUGUAUUUUUGUAAAUAGUUUUGUGAUUCAUUUCUUGCCCCUUAUGUAAAUAUUUAGAGCUUCAUUUCUUCCAAACUUAUUUGAAGCUGAGUUGUGGGUUUUGGGUUUCCUUGUUUGUUUGGCUGGGGGGUGGGUGGGGAAAAGGGAUUUUGUACUUGAAGAUGGAGAUAUCUUGUGGUUUAAUGCAAAUGUCCCACUGAAAGCAACUCAAAUAUCAACAGAAUUAUUUCAGGUUAAAACAUAUUUUGUGUAUGUGUUUCCUUUUUGACCUACAAUGAAUUCUAAUGAAAUUUAUGGGGGGGGGUCACUGAUUUGGGAUAUUCAGACUAGAAGACAAGUGUUUGUAUGACAGACUGUUAUUUAAGGAAGGGGUUUAAACAUCUCACUUCACCUCUGC
rnacentral:lncRNA from 1 species